rnacentral:lncRNA from 1 species
GGGCAGAUGUGCUUGCAGAUGUAUGCUGUGAUCAUAAUAUAUGAUUGGAACUUUUAAAUUUAGAAAACUCUAAAAGAAGAAGCAAUUAUAAUUGAAAAUAUCAGAUCAAUCAAUACCUGACUCAAAAGCAUGCUAGUAAAAAAAGAAUUUGGUUGAUAGAAUGCUGUAGAAUCAGAUCCUUGCAAUAAAUAAGAAUCAUUCAGUGUGUUAAAUGAAGUUGAAUCAUAUGGUAUUUGAAUCUAGCUCAUUAUCUGAUUUGAUGGAGGCAAAAAUCCUUGAGUAUUGAUUGCUGACGAGUUCAUAGUUGGAUAAAACUACAUAAUAUUGAUUGAAAAAUUAGUUUUAGGAUACUAACAUGAAAUAAAAAAAGAAGUGAUUUGAGCAGACUUAUAACAACAAACCUAAGUACUCAUCAGCCGAGGAAAUGGGUUUGAAGAAUUUGGAUUAUAUUGUGCAUGAUAUGCGGAAUAUGAUUUCAAAACCUACAAAAAUACGGUAAUAAAUAAAUUAUUUUCAUGAACUACUAAGAUUAAAUGUUACUAGUAACUCAUCCCAUUUAGACUGAAAUUCUUCCACUGUCUCACAAGCAUAAAGACACUUAUUGAACAUCUUCUUAAAGUUAGGGAUUCCUAAGUAGCUUGCUAUAUUUCUUGUUGCAUUCAGCGAUAUAUGCCACUAGCAUAAACGGUGACAAGUAUCAGGAAAAACAUCUCUAAUGCCAUUUGCCAUUGCCUGACAUUGAUCAGUAUAAAUGGUCCUUGGUGGUUGAUUUCCCAUUGACUCUAAAAAUGUUUCAAACAACCUUUCAAAUGAAGAGUUGUCUCAUCCAACAGAGAAGCACAUCCAAACAAAACAUUUUUCCAAUGAUUACUAAAACCUCACAAAAGACACUCUAACUUCCAAGGUACUUGUAGGAAAUCAAAAUCAAGUCUUCAUUAGCAUGAGAAGCUAAUAUGUCACAUCCCGGUUCUUAAGUCAAUUUGCGGUUAUUUACUUUUGGGUUACUUUGGCUUUUACCGUUUUGAGUAACCGUUUACUAUUUAAGGCUCCAAAAGUUGACUUUUUCUUUCAUCUAAAAUUUGGAAAGACUUUCUUCAUGAAAGUCGUAGAGGACGUUAAGCGGAGUUCGUAGACGCGUGGCACGCUUAAAUAGGAGUUCGUAUGAAUAAGUUAUGGUAUAAAAACAAAAGUUACUAUUUUGGUUGGGGGUAUAAAAAUGGAAACUUACCGGAUGGGUAAGGUAAGAAAUCAGUUUCACCCCCCUCACUCUCUCUUCUCUCUCUCGCGCCUCUCCUCCGACCGGCAACUUCAUCACCUCCAUCCGCCGCCGUCCGGCCGAGCUAGGUGGCGUGCUUGGUAUCGAUUUGAAGCUUGGAGCAUCCUCUACAAGUCUAGGUAGGUGGCAGCCGGUAUCGCGCCGCCGUGAAGGAGAAAUCAUGCCGGAAAGCCGCGACUGUGCGUGGUGGGGUUUUUGCCGGAAAAUCUCUUUUCCAGCCACCAUAGCCAGAGUUGUUGGUCUCAACUUGAAGCUCUCCCUCCCAGUAGCAAAACCCUAAAAGGAUUCAUCCUAACUUGAGCUAGGUAAGGAGAAUCGAAGGUUUGAAUCUUCUAGGGUUCUUGAUUGUGUUUUUGUUCGAUUGACAUGUUUAAACUUGAAAUUGGACUUAGUGAUAGUUAUGAAAGUUGUUUGGGAUGUUGAGAGGAAGAUGUUGUUAAAAUUUGGUAGCCAUCGGGGGUCACCGGAGUUGGCCGCCGGCCGCCGCUGCCGGUGGAGCAGACUGCGGCGCCGCCGCUGUAAGUGGGCUUUUCAGGGUUUUAAAUGUGUUAUGUUAAGGGGAGUUUAAUGAUGUGAAGUUUGGAAUUUUUGGUGGAGUUUUGAUAAGGUUUGGGAUUUUUAAAAGAUUAAGGAUUUUGCCCGUUAUUGAAUAAAAAUCCGGCCGUUGGAUUUCCUUGGUAUUUUUUUGUAGAAUGUUAAAAUUGAUGAAUUAAGGUUGUGGUGGAGUUUGGUGCGAAUCCGGCGAGUUUAACCCUAUUAAGAGUAGUGGGUUAAACGGAAGAGAGUUGGAUGUUUUUAUUCAUGUAUUUAUUUUCUGGAAUUGAAGUUUGAUUCUAAGCAUGGUUGUUGUGCUAGGAUGCGAAGGGAACCUCGCUUGAGUGGCUAUGCGGUUAUCGUCGGGCUUAUGCCUAAAGUUGUGAGUGAACAUUUUGGUUUAAUUAAAUAUGCAUGCAAGAUUUUAUAAAUUAUCAUUUUAUUUUUCCGAGCAUAUAUUAUAAUUUUCGGCUCAUGAGAUGAUCUUUAAAAUUAUUUGAGUGUGAUGCAUUGAUUAACGUUUGGUCAUGAUUUAUGGAUUUAAGCUCGGAUUAUUAAUUUGAUAUCUGAGUUUGGUUAUUUUAUAAGUUUCGGAUUUCAUUGUGAUUGAUUUAAUGGUGACUUUGGGAUUAAUAAAUGAUUACCGAAAAUGGGAUUUUCGGUAGUUCUCCAUCAUAAUUUAAUUGUUUAUUUGAGGCAUAAUGAUUUUGACUUGGAGAAUAUUUUAGCGAGUAUUUUCGAGUGAAGAUAUUGUUAUUUAUGAUUUAUAUUUGAUAUUGAAAUCUCGCUUAUAAUAUGGUUUUGAAAAUAUUUUGACGUGUGAGACACGUCAUUGAGUUUAGUAUAAUUUCUUAUGAUGAUUUUCAAAUACGGUUAGGAACCGUACCAUUCAUUUGAUAUUGGGGAAGUUUAAUGGAUUUAAGUGACUUCGUAUGAUUUUAAUCACCAUAAUAUAGGGUCGCUUUUAUAUUGAUUAUUGCUAGCUAACCUUAUUAGCGGUCCUCAUCAUAUGUAAGUCGCUAUUAUAGUCUUAUUAGCGGUCCUCUUCAUAUGUGAGUAGAGCGCUCAGCGUGGAAUGCUGUUAUAGCUUGGGAGGCAACCGAUCGGUAUUUAUAUUUAUUAGUUAGCUAGCUUUAUUAGCGGUCCUCAUUAUAUGUGAGUUGAGCACUUAGCGUGGGACGCUAUUAUAGCCUUAUUUAGUGGUCCUCAUCAUAUGUGAGUUGAGCGCUUAGCGUGGGACGCUAUUUUAGCUUGGGAGGCAUCGACCCGAGCCUGGGAGGCUCUUUUUUUCGUGGUGAUGACUCUUCCCCUUAUUUUAGCUUGGGAGGCAUCGACCCGAGCCUGGGAGGCUCUUUUUUUCGUGGUGAUAACUCUUCCCCUUAUUUUAUUCUUCUCAGUAAUAUAAUUGAUUAACCAGCGGGGCCGGUUUAUCUUCUCGUAUGAGAUUUUUGUUUUAAUUAACCAACGGGGCUGGUUUGUCCUUUAUUAAAUGAUUUUGGAUUUAAAGUUUUAAGGACGUUUAAGUUGCAUGCUGUUAAGUUUUAAAAGUUGAAAAGUGGGAAAGUAUAUAAGUUUUAUAAUUGUUAAGUUAUUGAAUUUAUUUUUCGUCCACUCACUCUAACGUUUUUAAAUUACUUUCCCCUGGGCCCUUUGGUUUAUAAAUGCCCAGUUUGCAGGCUAAGUUAAUUGAGGUCGAGCGUACAUGGAGUCGAGGCAUAGUCAGAGGCUGCUUCCGCUUAAUCUUUAUUUAUUGUUAUUCUUUCAUUACUAGAUAUGCUCUGAUAACCUGUUAGUGAAAAAAUAAUGUCUUUGUUGUUGGUUGUGGAAUUCCUGAAAUUUAGUAUUUAAUAUAUUGGGAGAUGUGUUAAACUUGGGGAGCAGGAAGGCUCCAGGAGUUGAGGAUGGAGGUUUGAUUAUAGAAGUGUUAAGUUUGAUUUUUUUUUUUUCAGGAAAAGGUUGUCCAUUUUUAAGGAAGGUUAUGCCGAAUUUUCGGUAAAUUUUCCUUGAAGGUGGUCCCCGCAAGAUUUACUUCGGAUUUCUGGGUGAAAUUCGAGGUGGGUCCUGACAUAAUAAACCAAACUCAUUUGGACACUAAGGGACAAUAAUUGAGCCUCCAUUGCUAUUUCAGCUUACCAAUCUCACUCAAGUAGCUAGCCUUGACACAAUAAUUCCUAACUCCCACAGUUCUUAACCAUAGUGUUCUGUAUUCAACUUUGUUCUCAACCAUAAUGAGAACAUAAACCCAAUUCGUUUUGGAAUCUCAACCCUAAAGAAUACCAUUUUUAACACACCUUUGAUUCUUUCAAAAACAGCAAGAAUUUCAAUGAAAACAUUUCCUCAAACACUAACAUAUGUAUAUAUCAAACUGAUUCAAUACUAAUAUAUAUUGUAUGUAUAUAUAAAUUUCCUCUAAAUCCCGGAUUACCGAAGAUAAGAAACCAGGAGUGGCGACGAAACCAGCAUUCUUCAUCUCCGACGCGAAGACCCUCGUGAAAGCUUGCCGUCUGGAAGUGUCCUCCUCUCAGGCUGAGUUGCGUUACGCUUCGUGGCCACCGAAUCAGAGAGUGACUCUGAGAGGCGAUGGAGGAAAAGACGAAGAGGAGGAGCUCAAUUUGGUGACAUCGACAUCAGAGAGAAGGAGAGAAGGGGGCGGGGUGGGAGACAUGGGCUGAUUAUGUUUUUAGGUUAGAGGGUGUUUCAGUUCUAAACAAAGAGAAAACGGAGACGUUAAACUAAACUCACGAUCCUGUCAAUUUUUCAGCUGGACACGUGUCGUGUUUUUAGUGGUUGGGGACACCAAAUCAGCUUGCCAGCUGAUAUUCCGACCACAGCAAAUAAUUUCUCCUUCCUUGAAGCAUAUGCUGAAUAUGGUUCCAACAAAAUCAUAAUUUAAAAUUUUGACAGAUUUCUCUGUUUAUCAAAUUAUGUUUUGAUGGAUUUCAAAGUCGUUGUUGGCUUUGCUAUAGAACCGAAAGAAAGAAUAUAUAUGGUCGAAUCAUUAUUGUUCAGUCUCAAGAUGUUAAAUCAUUUUUGCAGGACUAAUCACGUCCUGGAUCUAAUGC